CUUUAGGUCAACAAAACAAACAAAUCAAAACUGAAACGUGGUGAAUAAUGGCGGAAGGCAGGUGUAGGCAGAAUUAUGAAAAUGAAUAUCACCAGAGAGACGACAUAAAUUCGUAUGUAGAACUGAUCCCGAAUUUGGAAUCAGAUUUCGAAGAAGAAAGACUCGUAACACAAAAAAUUACAUCGAGGUUUUAUGUUAAAACAGUUGUCUUGUCCGUC